rnacentral:rRNA from 3 species
AAAUUGAAGAGUUUGAUCAUGGCUCAGAUUGAACGCUGGCGGCAGGCCUAACACAUGCAAGUCGAACGGUAGCACAGAGGAGCUUGCUCCUUGGGUGACGAGUGGCGGACGGGUGAGUAAUGUCUGGGAAACUGCCCGAUGGAGGGGGAUAACUACUGGAAACGGUAGCUAAUACCGCAUAA